UGUUGGUAUCUUAGUGGCGGACGGGGUGAGUAACGCGUGGGUAACCUGCCUUACACUGGGGGAUAACACUUAGAAAUAGGUGCUAAUACCGCAUAACAGGGAAAGAUGCAUGUCUUUUCCUUAAAAACUCCGGUGGUGUAAGAUGGACCCGCGUCUGAUUAGCUUGUUGGCGGGGUAACGGCCCACCAAGGCGACGAUCAGUAGCCGGCCUGAGAGGGUGAACGGCCACAUUGGGACUGAGACACGGCCCAAACUCCUACGGAAGGCAGCAG
rnacentral:rRNA from 1 species